AAAAUCAAUGGAAGCAAAUGAUGGAUUUAGAGCAAUAUGGAAGCUUCAUACCUCCAAUUCAAUUGGUUGGUCUUUAGUUCAAGUGGAAAGGUGGUUUUUCUUAUGUGGUUGGUGGUUUAUUGGCUUUCAUAGGAAAGGUGUAUUUUCAACUACCUUUAUCUUUAUAUUCAAUUGUCAUGUGCAACAAUUCUACAUCA